GACGAACGCUGGCGGCGUGCUUAACACAUGCAAGUCGAACGCUGAAGCACCAGCUUGCUGGUGUGGAUGAGUGGCGAACGGGUGAGUAAUACGUGAGUAACCUGCCCUUGACUCUGGGAUAAGCCCGGGAAACUGGGUCUAAUACUGGAUGCUACAUGUCACCGCAUGGUGGUGUGUGGAAAGGGUUUACUGGUCUUGGAUGGGCUCACGGCCUAUCAGCUUGUUGGUGAGGUAAUGGCUCACCAAGGCGACGACGGGUAGCCGGCCUGGGAGGGUGACCGGCCACCCUGGGACUGAGACACGGCCCAGACUCCUACGGGAGGCAGCAGUGGGGAAUAUUGCACAAUGGGCGCAAGCCUGAUGCAGCGACGCCGCGUGAGGGAUGACGGCCUUCGGGUUGUAAACCUCUUUCAGCAGGGAAGAAGCCACAAGUGACAGUACCUGCAGAAGAAGCGCCGGCUAACUACGUG
rnacentral:rRNA from 1 species